rnacentral:rRNA from 1 species
UACGGGGGGGGCAAGCGUUGUUCGGAAUUACUGGGCGGAAAGGGUUCUUAGGGGGCCAACUAAGUCAGACGUGAAAUCCCUCAGCUUAACUGGGGAACUGCGUCUGAUACUGGUUGGCUUGAGUGCAGGAGAGGAACGCGGAAUUCCAGGUGUAGCGGUGAAAUGCGUAGAUAUCUGGAGGAACACCGGUGGCGAAGGCGGCGUUCUGGACUGCAACUGACACUGAGGAACGAAAGCCAGGGGAGCAAACGGG